GACGAACGCUGGCGGCGUGCCUAAUACAUGCAAGUUGAGCGCUGAAGGUUGGUACUUGUACCAACUGGAUGAGCAGCGAACGGGUGAGUAACGCGUGGGGAAUCUGCCUUUGAGCGGGGGACAACAUUUGGAAACGAAUGCUAAUACCGCAUAAAAACUUUAAACACAAGUUUUAAGUUUGAAAGAUGCAAUUGCAUCACUCAAAGAUGAUCCCGCGUUGUAUUAGCUAGUUGGUGAGGUAAAGGCUCACCAAGGCGAUGAUACAUAGCCGACCUGAGAGGGUGAUCGGCCACAUUGGGACUGAGACACGGCCCAAACUCCUACGGGAGGCAGCAGUAGGGAAUCUUCGGCAAUGGACGAAAGUCUGACCGAGCAACGCCGCGUGAGUGAAGAAGGUUUUCGGAUCGUAAAACUCUGUUGGUAGAGAAGAACGUUUGUGAGAGUGGAAAGCUCAUCAAGUGACGGUAACUACCCAGAAAGGGACGGCUAACUACGU
rnacentral:rRNA from 1 species